UAGGGAAACUCUACAUCAACGUGCCGUAGAUAGUCUUGAGGACCUUGAGAUAGUACCUGAUCAUACUAGCAAUUGUAUCAACGGUUAGCUACUAGCAAGAGGAAAUGAUGGUUAGUCUUGGGCGGGUUGUUUAUCUCGGAUAGGCGUGACUAGUGAAAUAAAGUAUCUCAAACUUCCUUAUCUGGUGGAAAUUUU